rnacentral:rRNA from 1 species
AUGCACGCUGGCGGCGUGCUUAACCCAUGCAAGUCGAACGAAGCACUUUAUUUGAUUUCCUUCGGGACUGAUUAUUUUGUGACUGAGUGGCGGACGGGCGAGUAACGCGUGGGUAACCUGCCUUGUACAGGGGGAUAACAGUUGGAAACGGCUGCUAAUACCGCAUAAGCGCACAGCAUCGCAUGAUGCAGUGUGAAAAACUCCGGUGGUAUAAGAUGGACCCGCGUUGGAUUAGCUAGUUGGUGAGGUAACGGCCCACCAAGGCGACGAUCCAUAGCCGACCUGAGAGGGUGACCGGCCACAUUGGGACUGAGACACGGCCCAAACUCCUACGGGAGGCAGCAGUGGGGAAUAUUGCACAAUGGGCGAAAGCCUGAUGCAGCGACGCCGCGUGAGCGAAGAAGUAUUUCGGUAUGUAAAGCUCUAUCAGCAGGGAAGAUAAUGACGGUACCUGACUAAGAAGCACCGGCUAAAUACGU